rnacentral:rRNA from 1 species
UACGGAGGAUGCAAGCGUUAUCCGGAAUUAUUGGGCGUAAAGCGUCCGUAGGUGGCUUUACAAGUCAGCUGUUAAAGCGUGGAGCUUAACUCCAUAAAGGCAGUUGAAACUGUGAGGCUAGAGUGCGGUAGGGGUAAGGGAAUUCCCAGUGUAGCGGUGAAUGCGUAGAGAUCGGGAAGAACAUCGGUGGCGAAGCGCUCUGCUGGACUGCGACUGACACUCAGGGACGAAAGCUAGGGGAGCGAAUGGG